rnacentral:rRNA from 1 species
UGCAGUCGAGGGGUAUUGGUUUUCGGACCAAGAGACCGGCGCACGGGUGCGUAACGCGUAUGCAAUCUACCUUUCACAGAGGGAUAGCCCAGAGAAAUUUGGAUUAAUACCUCAUAGUAUUACGGAAUGGCAUCAUUUUGUAAUUAAAGUCACAACGGUGAAAGAUGAGCAUGCGUCCCAUUAGCUAGUUGGUAAGGUAACGGCUUACCAAGGCUACGAUGGGUAGGGGUCCUGAGAGGGAGAUCCCCCACACUGGUACUGAGACACGGACCAGACUCCUACGGGAGGCAGCAGUGAGGAAUAUUGGACAAUGGGCGCAAGCCUGAUCCAGCCAUGCCGCGUGCAGGAUGACGGUCCUAUGGAUUGUAAACUGCUUUUGUACGAGAAGAAACACUCCUUCGUGAAGGAGCUUGACGGUAUCGUAAGAAUAAGGAUCGGCUAACUCCGUGCCAGCAGCCGCGGUAAUACGGAGGAUCCAGGCGUUAUCCGGAAUCAUUGGGUUUAAAGGGUCCGUAGGCGGUUUAGUAAGUCAGUGGUGAAAGCCCAUCGCUCAACGGUGGAACGGCCAUUGAUACUGCUAGACUUGAAUUAUUAGGAAGUAACUAGAAUAUGUAGUGUAGCGGUGAAAUGCUUAGAGAUUACAUGGAAUACCAAUUGCGAAGGCAGGUUACUACUAAUGGAUUGACGCUGAUGGACGAAAGCGUGGGUAGCGAACAGGAUUAGAUACCCUGGUAGUCCACGCCGUANACGAUGGAUACUAGCUGUUGGGAGCGAUCUCAGUGGCUAAGCGAAAGUGAUAAGUAUCCCACCUGGGGAGUACGUUCGCAAGAAUGAGACUCAAAGGAAUUGACGGGGGCCCGCACAAGCGGUGGAGCAUGUGGU